rnacentral:rRNA from 1 species
UGGGGAAUAUUGGACAAUGGGGGGAACCCUGAUCCAGCCAUGCCGCGUGUGUGAAGAAGGUCUUCGGAUUGUAAAGCACUUUAAGUUGGGAGGAAGGGCAGUAAGCGAAUACCUUGCUGUUUUGACGCUACCGACAGAAUAAGCACCGGCUAACUCUGUGCCAGCAGCCGCGGUAAUACAGAGGGUGCAAGCGUUAAUCGGAAUUACUGGGCGUAAAGCGUGCGUAGGCGGCUAAUUGAGUCGGAUGUGAAAUCCCCGAGCUUAACUUGGGAAUUGCAUUCGAUACUAGUUAGCUAGGGUGUGGGGGAGGAUGGGAGAAUUCCAGGUGUAGCGGUGAAAUGCGGAGAAAUCUGGAGGAAUACCGAUGGCGAAGGCAGCCAUCUGGCCUAACACUGACGCUGAGGUACGAAAGCAUGGGGAGCAAACAAG